rnacentral:hammerhead_ribozyme from 1 species
GUCUAGUUGUCGAGUCCUAAAUAGGACGAAACAUGCAUCCUUGAC